UGUGGUUCUUGGGCAAUCACAUUGUAUAUGUCAUUCUUUCUCCUAGGGCAGCCAUGCUCUCCUCUGCAGAGACACCUCUCCUCUCUGUCUGUGCUGCUGGGAUGCAGAUGUUCUUACCUACGGGAAGUACCUUCAGCCCUGAGGUCUCCAGCGUCAUAUCAGACUCAGUGGAGUUCACUAGACCCUGACAGGAGGUCAGGGGGGAGGGGUCAUCCCCCAAGAGGCCACAGGAAUUUUAAACCAUCAGGCACCAGGUCCAGGAAACCAGAGAAUGACAUGAGUCCUGAUAUUCCAUUACCAUAAGAGUGUUCCAAGGAGACUAGAGAAGGUAGAUUGGAUAUAACCAUUGGGGCUAUGCCAAGGUACGUAAUGAUGUUACAAUGAGGGUUAUAGAAUCGUAGAUUUAGAAAUGGGAGAGGCAUAAGAGGCUUUCAGAUCCAACCUUCUCAUUUUACAGAGGAGUAAACUGAGGACCAGAGGAGUUAAUCAAUUUACUCAAAGUCACCCAGGUUAUAAGUGGCAAAGCUGGGAUGGGACCUAGGUGCGCUGACCUCACAUACACUAUUCUUUCAACUGUACCAUGGGUGUUGCUCCCGUCGGUCACUCACACUCUUGUUGACUGCAGUGAUGUUCCAGUGACAUUUGGGGAAGGGCCAAGGGAGAUACUCUGCCUGCAAAUGUUAUGGCCCCAGGGGGAGGGAUGAGGAAGAGGAGAGUGUCUUUAAAAAUAUGUAACCCCAUAUCCCUGGGGGAAGUGGGAAUUUGAGCUGGGUUGUGAAUAACAAGCUUAUUCCUCAUAGCUGUAAACCGCAGCAGCACAAAUAUGAACUCGGAUAAAUUCAGGUUUCCUCUGCUUUACUUCUAUAAGACGAGACCAUGAGUGAGGCCCCAUCAGGGAACAAAAUUCUUUUCUUCUUUUUGAACCAAAAAGAUAAGGAAAGUACCAGGAAUUUGGCUAGUGAGGAGUGCCAGGUUGGGAAAGCUCUUAAGCCUUUAUUCAGAACUCUCUAGUAAUACUAGAAGGUAAGGAGAGCCACGCACGCACACAGCCCAUCGUGUUCUUGGCGAAGCAGUCCUGGCCUGGCUUUCAAGUGAAAGAGAUGAGGGGUUUAGAUGCCUGCAAGGACAUUAUGAGCCAAAAGUGUCUUACGGCUGCCAAAAAGCUAACACGAUCCCAGGUUGCCUCAAUAGACGUAUCAAGUCCCAAUCAAAGGAGAUAGUGGUCCCAUUGUACCCCGUUGGUUGGACCAUGCUGAGUAUAUUGUGAUUUCCGUGCAGAGUUCGAGAAAGACAAUGUCACAUC
rnacentral:lncRNA from 1 species